UUCGAGCGUCGAUUAUCUGCAUCAAAACCUAUCUCAAAUUACGAGUAUAAUUUCAAAAAAAAAAAAAUCUGCUUGGAUUUCGUCGCGUCGCUUCGCUUCUUCUCCGCCAUUCUCGCUCCUCUGACAUCGCUGCUCAUCACCAACCAUGGCGUUCUGUUGGAAUCAUCUCCAUAGAUGUUCGACUUCUAUUUCGAUGGUGAUGUUAAUUCGAGAUUACUGGUAUUCCUCGCUAUCAUGCAUUGUAAACCAAUUUGCGGCAUUUUGCCUCAAAAUGAAACUACCAGUUGGGAUCUUCAAGUGGAACAAAAAUUUACAGGAACUUGAAUAUUGCAGAAGUCGGGUAUUUCAAAAAGGCGUAAGAAAAUAUUAAUACAUACAAAGUGCUGCAAAUUUGUUAAACCAUAUCAUCAUCAUUAUCAUUAAAAUUAAA